rnacentral:rRNA from 1 species
CCUACGGGAGGCAGCAGUGGGGAAUAUUGGACAAUGGGCGAAAGCCUGAUCCAGCAAUGCCGCGUGUGUGAAGAAGGCCUUCGGGUUGUAAAGCACUUUAAGUUGGGAAGAAAAAAUUCCACCUAAUACGUGGCAGUCUUGACGGUACCGACAGAAUAAGCACCGGCUAACUCUGUGCCAGCAGCCGCGGUAAU